AUUGAACGCUGGCGGCAGGCCUAACACAUGCAAGUCGAACGAGUGGCGGACGGGUGAGUAAUGUCUGGGAAACUGCCCGAUGGAGGGGGAAAACUACUGGAAACGUUAGCUAAUACCGCGAACAAUGGGUUGUGCCCAGAUGGGAUUGGCUAGUAGGUGGGGUAAAGGCUAACCUAGGCGACGAUCCCUAGCUGGUCUGAGAGGAUGACCGGCCACUCUGGAACUGAGACACUGUCCAGACUCCUACGGGAGGCAGCAGUGGGGAAUAUUGCACAAUGGGCGCAAGCCUGAUGCAGCCAUGCCGCGUGUAUGAAGAAGGCCUUCGGGUUGUAAAGUACUUUCAGCGGGGAGGCGUUACCCGCAGAAGAAGCACCGGCUAACUCCGUACCAGCCGCCGCGGUAAUAC
rnacentral:rRNA from 1 species